rnacentral:rRNA from 1 species
GGACUACUGGGGUAUCUAAUCCUGUUCGCUCCCCACGCUUUCGCGUCUCAGCGUCAGUACCGUACUAGAGAGCCGCCUUAGCCACGGGUGUUCUUCCUGAUAUCUGCGCAUUUCACCGCUACACCAGGAAUUCCACUCUCCUCUUCCGGACUCUAGCCACAUGGUUUCCAUCGGCGUCUCGAGGUUGAGCCUCGAGUUUUCACAACGGACCUACAUGGCCGCCUACACGCUCUUUACGCCCAAUAAAUCCGGACAACGCUUGCCCCCUACGUAUUACCGCGGCGGCUGGCAC